AACAAAGUGUGUGUGUGAGAGGGAGAGAGAGAGGGUGAUGCCUGGAGAGACACACCCGCUGCACAAGCUCAUUCCUAAUAGACUGUACAUCCUGAUUCACACAAGAUACAAGAUUUGCUGUAAGAUUUGAGGAUAUUUCUGAAUUUGCUCACAGGUUCAAGUGGAUCACUUCAACCUGCCAUGGCCAUGGAGAACAGCAAAGAGGGAUGUAAAUGCACAAAUGAUUGCAGUAAAUGCCAAUGCCAUUGUCAUACAAUAACCAAAAGUCCAAAAACUAUGCAAAAGACUGUGGAGGAGAAGACGUCUGAGACUACUGAAACUUUGAAAGAGCCUGCCCCCUGUCAUUGUGGCUACUGUUUUUGUGGCCCCAGUGAUUGUGGCCCUGGUGAACCUGACUCCUGUCAUUGUGGCUCCUGUGACUGCGGCCCUUGUGACUGUGGCUCCUGCGACUGUGGCUCCUGUGACUGCGGCUCCUGUGAUUUUAUGUGUAUGUGCUUGUAGGAUGAUGUUCUGACAGCCAUUCACAGAUUCUUGGCAGAGUGAUGUAGUUCUGCACAAGCCACUCCCACAAUAGUUGAUUGGCACUGGUGUUUUAUCACAGACCCGCCCUGAGAGAGCUGUAAAGAGUCCGCCAUUAUUUCGACACCGGAGCAGGUACUUACAGGUACAUUGAAUUACAUGGGCGGCUCGCCAUGUACAAACAACUGCCGGGACAGAUCAGGACUCCAGAGUAGAAAUAACGACACCAUAAAACAUGGAAGGAAAAGAAGAAUUUAAAAAAACCCAGCCUUAAUAAGACACA